rnacentral:lncRNA from 1 species
CCCAGAGAACCUGUGUCUACUUCUGAGCGCUGGGAAUGAAGCAGAUCUCGCAAAAGGGGAGGAAGGCCUUCACCGCUGAACCCGAGCUUUGCCAUUUCGAAGUGCUGAGUCACCUCGUCCUCUCAGGGUCAGACACUUUCACGCAGGAAACGUCCUGCAGAGCACCGCAGCGGGAGCACCGAGCUGGUGUAUAGGUGUGAACCAAGUGCACGUCUAGUUCCCUUGGAGGCCAGAAAGAAGGCGGUGUCAGAUCCCCAGGAACCAUAGUUACAGAUGGUUGAUGUGGAAACUCAGAGAGGAUGCCACUGUUUUGAACUAUUUUGAAGGCACAGCCACCAGAGCUUUAGGGACAGGGUAUUUUAUCACAGCAACAGAAAUGAAACCAAAACAACUCCACAAUAAAAUUCUUGAGUUUCUUGGGGCCAAGAAGAUGACACGAUAAGAUAAAGACACUGGCCAAGCAUGACCUCCAGAGUUUGGCCCUUGCAUAAAGGAGAAAAUUAAUUCCUUCAGUUGUUCUCUGACCUCCACAUGCGUCCUGUAACAUGGGUGUAUGCAUACACAUAAACACACAUCCACACGUUGUUAAAUAAAUAAAAAAAAUAUGUUAACA